AGGGGGGGCAAGCGUUGUUCGGAAUUACUGGGCGUAAAGGGCUCGUAGGCGGCCAACUAAGUCACACGUGAAAUCCCCAGGCUUAACCUGGGAACUGCGUGUGAUACUGGAUGGCUUGAAUUCGGGAGAGGGAUGCAGAAUUCCAGGUGUAGCGGUGAAAUGCGUAGAUAUCUGGAGGAAUACCGGUGGCGAAGGCGGCAUCCUGGACCGACAUUGACGCUGAGGAGCGAAAGCUAGGGGAGCAAACGGGAUUAGAUACCCCGGUAGUCCUAGCCCUAAACGAUGAAUGCUUGGUGUGGCGGGUAUCGAUCCCUGCCGUGCCGAAGCUAACGCAUUAAGCAUUCCGCCUGGGGAGUACGGUCGCAAGGCUGAA
rnacentral:rRNA from 1 species